AUAGUCGCCUUCCGCACUUCCCGGCCGGUUCCUGCUCACCGCUCGCCUCAGUCCCGCCCGGCCGGGCCACACCUCCUCCUGGGGCCGGGCGAUGGGCGGGCAAGGGGACUGGCGGGUUAAAGGGAGGCCGGCCCGGGAGUGGGCUACCUCCGCUUGCGCCACGCUACCGCCUCGGUCCCGCCACAGCGGAGGACGCGCCUUGGAGCCGGAUCGCUCGGUGCGGCCGAGACUCGAGAGGUGAAGAUUUUUUGAAAGCAGUGAAGUGCUGUGCAAGGAACUAUUUAAUUAUUUUACCAAGGUUUUACAGUUUGGAAAAGCCUUUUGACUCAGAAAUCACUAAGAAGUAUUCCAAAAUAGAAUGACAUAAAGAAUGCACUCAAGCAAGCUUGGCCUGAAAGUAGAAGGUGAGAAGAAAGUUAUGGACCAGUUGCAUUGAGGAAUGAAGAGCUGCUGUGUGUUUUCAUCAGUCUGAUUGACUUGCUCAGGGAGGUUGAAACAUCUAUCUCCAGAAAUGUCUUUGAAAAAUGAAGAGCAAAAUGACCUUUCACCCAAGGACUCAGUUAAAGGAAAUGACCAGUACAGAGCUCCAUCUGGGAUCCACCUGGAGCAUGAAGAGGAAUCACGUAAUGACUCCCGGCAGUUUGAGUCCAGUGAUCUUUUUAGACACCGUAGGAUCUAUUUAGAGCCUCAAGAGAAAUCAGAUAAUAACUUCAAGAAGUUUGUUAUCAAAAAACUAGAGAAGAGUUGCCAGUGCAAUUCAACCAAAGCCAAAAAUAUCAUUUUUGGUUUCCUUCCUGUUUUGCAGUGGCUCCCAAAAUAUGAUCUGAAGAAAAACAUUUUAGGAGAUGUGAUGUCUGGCUUGAUUGUGGGCAUCUUAUUGGUGCCCCAAUCCAUUGCUUAUUCUCUCUUGGCUGGCCAAGAACCUAUCUAUGGUCUGUACACAUCUUUUUUUGCCAGCCUCAUUUAUUUCAUUUUGGGUACCUCCCGUCACAUCUCUGUAGGCAUUUUUGGAGUACUGUGCCUUAUGAUUGGUGAAGUAGUUGACCGAGAACUAUACAUAGCUGGCUAUGAUAGUGUCCAUGCUGCUUCAAAUGAGAGCUCAUUAGUAAACCAGAUGUCAGACAAGACAUGUGACAGAAGUUGCUAUGCAAUUAUAGUUGGCAGCACUGUAACCUUUGUGGCUGGAGUUUAUCAGGUAGCGAUGGGCUUCUUUCAAGUGGGCUUUGUUUCAGUCUACCUCUCUGAUGCCUUGCUGAGUGGAUUUGUCACUGGUGCCUCCUUCACUAUUCUUACAUCUCAAGUCAAGUACCUCCUUGGACUCAGCCUUCCUCGGAGUAGUGGAGUGGGAUCACUCAUCACUACUUGGAUACAUGUAUUCAGAAACAUUCAUAAGACCAAUAUCUGUGAUCUCAUCACCAGCCUUUUGUGCCUUCUGGUUCUUCUGCCAACCAAAGAACUCAAUGAGCGCUUCAAGUCCAAGCUUAAGGCACCAAUUCCUGUUGAACUCUUUGUUGUUGUGGCAGCCACAUUAGCCUCUCAUUUUGGAAAACUGAAUGAGAAAUACAGCACCAGUAUUGCUGGGUAUAUUCCCACUGGGUUUAUGCCACCCAAAGCACCUGACUGGAACUUAAUUCCUAGAGUGGCUGUAGAUGCAAUAGCUAUUGCUAUCAUUGGGUUUGCUAUCACUGUAUCACUUUCUGAGAUGUUUGCCAAGAAACAUGGCUACACAGUCAAAGCUAAUCAGGAAAUGUACGCUAUCGGCUUUUGCAAUAUCAUCCCUUCCUUCUUCCACUGCUUCACUACUAGUGCAGCUCUUGCAAAGACACUGGUGAAGGAAUCCACAGGCUGUCAAACUCAGGUUUCUGGUGUGGUGACAGCUCUGGUUCUUCUGUUGGUCCUCUUGGUCAUAGCUCCUUUGUUCUUCUCCCUGCAGAAAAGUGUCCUUGGUGUGAUAACUAUCGUAAAUCUCCGGGGAGCCCUACGUAAAUUUAAGGAUCUGCCCCAGAUGUGGAGGAUUAGCAGAAUGGACACAGUUAUCUGGUUUGUUACCAUGCUGUCCUCUGCACUGAUCAGUACUGAAAUAGGCCUGCUUACUGGGGUUUGUUUUUCUAUGUUUUGUGUCAUCCUCCGCACUCAGAAGCCAAGGACUUCAUUGCUUGGCCUGGUGGAAGAUUCUGAAGUCUUUGAAUCCAUGUCUGCCUACAAGAACCUUCAGACCAAGUCAGGCAUCAAGAUUUUCCGCUUUGUGGCCCCACUCUACUAUGUAAACAAAGAAUAUUUUAAAUCUGCUUUAUACAAAAAAACUCUCAACCCAGUCUUAGUAAAAGCAGCUCAGAGGAAGGCAGCAAAGAAAAAGAUCAAAAGGGAAACAGUAACAUUCAGUGGAAUCCAGGACGAAGUUUCAGUGCAACUUUCCCAUGAUCCCUUAGAGUUCCAUACAAUAGUGAUUGACUGUAGUGCAAUACAGUUUUUAGAUACAGCAGGGAUCCAUACACUGAAAGAAGUUCGCAGAGAUUAUGAAGCUAUUGGCAUCCAGGUUCUGCUGGCUCAAUGCAAUCCCUCUGUGAGGGACUCCCUGGCCCGGGGAGAGUACUGCAAAAAGGAUGAAGAAAACCUUCUUUUUUAUAGUGUAUAUGAAGCAAUGACUUUUGCAGAAGACUCUCAGAAUCAAAAAGAGAGAUAUGUUCCCAAUGGUCCAAGUUUUUCCAGUGAUUGAUUGAGGAGGUAGAUGGAAGGAAGAAUCUCGUCUAGCCAAUAGGUUAAAAUUUCAAGUGUGUAGCAUUUUAUACUGUGGAACUGGAAAUUGUUGCACACUAGAAAUUUUAACCUUUUGGCUAGGCAGAAUUCUUCCUUUGAAGUUGAUGGCCUUUGUAGAUACGCAAAGGCAGCAGAGCUUUUAGUUAAGCAGAAUCAAAAUAAGAAAAUGUGUUUUUAAGUUUUCUCGUAAAUAUGAGAUAUUCUUGGAAUUAAAUAAAUAUCUGUUGAACUGUAAAGUAGCCCCCAAACUUAAUUACCAUCCUGUUUUAGGAGAUACGCAUCUGGACUCUUGCUUCUCCAGGAGGUAAAGGGGUAAAGCUGGCAUGUACAUAAGAGGUGCUGGAGCCUGUUUGGCAUGGCUCUUUGGAGAGAGAGGAGAAAGGAAGUAGGGAAAGAAUUUAUGUCUUCUCUCGUAACAGCAAGUCAAGAGGCUUCUGGAGUGUAGGGUAGUAAUUAGACAAGCUUGUUCUCACUUGAGCUUCUCUAGCCCCUGUCUUUGUUCUCCAGAUGGCAGUCAGAUCUCUGGCUUUUUACAGGGAAGCAUCAUUCCUCUCUGGCACAGUCUUAUCAGGAGUCUGCUGGCAGAGCAGGUUUGUGAAACCCUACCAGCCAGUCCCACAUUACACAGGAUGCUCUUGGUGUGAUACAUGUGAUAUUUUUAGUCAGCCUUUUUGGUUAGGGUAAGUAGGUGAGAAAAGAGCUCUUCAUGCCAGUCAACAUAGUGAGAAUCCUUCCUGUCUCCUGUGAUUCCUGUCUGUCCUUGUUUCUGAGUAUUAAUCUGCCAUUAAGCUCUGUUUUAACUUUCAUUUAGUGUGUUUCCCAUGGAAUCUGUUCUAAACCGCUAUGUCUGAUUGCCAGUGAGUGACAAGUUUGCCAGACAGAAGGCAUGGUGCUGACUUAGCAAUUUCAUGUAGCCUUUUAAGUGACGUUGAGGCAAACUGUUCCGGACAGAUUGCAAAAAAAAGAAUGACUGACAACUUCCCUUAAGUUGUUUAAACAGAUUCUUCCCUUAAUAAUUUGUUUAUUUAGUAGUGAAUUUUUCUUUCCUUCCCUUGUUUAGCGAGAGUCAGCUGGGAAUUGACUGUCUUUCUCAUAUUUGAGAAGCUGCUAUUCAUUUUUACUCUGUAAGAAAAAAAAUUAUUGUGACCAAUGGAGAAAAAUGCACAGAAGUGACAGAAUGCUUCCAAAAGAACAUCAAUAAUUGUAGCUGUUUUAGUGAAAACAAAGUAAUCUUACUGCUACGCACCCUGUUGAUGUAUAAUAAAUACUGAUGACAGUGACUACUUUUCGCUCUUUGGGCCACCUAAAACUAUUGUGUAAAAGGAUUUAGAAGCAUCACAUUCAUAUAACCCAGGUUCUGGGGAUGUACUGUUUAUCAUAUCUGGUCACUAGUGUGGUACAAAAAUAUUUCCUUUGGAAAAGUAUGUCCAACAUUGAAAGCUUAUAGUUCUGUAUCUGGACCUUUAUGGGUGAGGGAAGAAAACAGAUUUUCCAAACUUAGGAUUAGGAGACUAGUUUAUAUGAGACUGAAACGUUUAGCACGCCAUUUUAAACAAACAAGAUAAAAACUACAAAAUUGCAAAAUCAUCUUUAACCCAUUCUCCUACAUUCUAAACAGUAUGUUUAUGAGAAACAAACCCUAUGUAUAACGCAUCUACUGAAGUGGGAGACUUUUAAACAUCUUUCUUAUUGGCUCCAUAAACUGCAGUGUUGGUUUUCUUUUGAUAGAGCUCUGCCAUCAGUUUACAUGAAAAAUGCCUUUCUAUCAUUAAAACAAAGCAGUUUCUCAGGAGCUAGAUUUCUCUCCUUGAGGUGAUUGACAUCACGAUUAAAUGUAAUAGUGUCCUUAGAGUUUUGACAUCCUUUUAGAACUUAAGUCUUGAAUUGCAGAAAUGUUAACUGCUGUUGGUAUUUGUGUCUCUUUUGUUUCUUGUUUGUAGCAAAUAUUUGCUCUGUCUCUCCAGUCUUAGGAAUAGGAAUAGUAAAAUCAAAGUAUCUUGGUUGUCAUUUGUUUUCAACCCGGUCUUAUACCUCACCGGAGCCAAGUUUGAAUCCAGAUCAUGGUAAAUACCUGAUGCCAUGUGACAGAGUACAUGUUCAUGUUCUCUAAUGCCACGUUCAGAGUACAUGUAAUGAGUACAUGUUCAAGAUGACUUUAUAAUUUAGCAAACCCUACCAUGGGGAAAUUAGAAAAGAGUCCAAAGAAUUUAGAAAAUCUCUUAAAAGGACAAAAUAACAGGCUUUGACCUUUACCUCCCAUUUCUGUCCAAAAUGUAGAUAUAAACAAUUAUGGAACUUUAUGCAGUUAGCAGAUUCUUGAAUUGUGUUCUGGUUUUUCUCCUACCUACCUGAACAAGUAAGAGAUCUGCUUUUGAAAGCCAUUUGUAAAAAUACUGAAGAUACACUAGAAUUUAAUACUUACCUUGUCUGCUUGGUUUGAAAUCUGCCUGUACUUUCAUGUUAAGAUUUUUUGAUUGCUGGUAUUUAAAGGAAUCAAGCCUGAAACCGUAGCCAAAGGAAUCUGCUUUCUUGCUCAAAGGUUUGGUUGAUUUAGUUGAUUAGGUGAUAUUUUACACACUUCAUUGACACAAAAAUGUCUUGCUUACUCUGAACUUUACAGUCUAACUGUAUCUGUAUUGCUUAUUGAUGAAUGUACAAAAUUCUGAAUAUCUUACAAUGGUCAUUUAAUUGAAAUAUAUGUACACUCUUGAUGGUUAAAACUCAUACAGCCAGAGUGAGGUAGAGUUCACCUAGAAUCAAAGGGUAAUAUUCAAGAGAGAGGUGAAGGGAAUAGACUAUUAAAAAGGUGAUCUCUGACCAAGCAAGGGAGAAAAGAAGAGGGCCUCAGAUGAAUAGGAUUCAGCCCUGGUUAGCGUCAUACAUGACUGUCCAUAAGCAGGGAGACCAGGAUUUAGAGCCACAGCAUACUGUGAGAGCAGACUCAGAACUGGAUUCUGCUUCUAGAAGGGGAGUGCACAAAUUCACUAAAGUGAAAGAGCCGGUAGCCAAGGUUGAGGCCAAAGCCGGGGUUGACCUACUGCAGAGCUCUCGAUUGAGUGACUGUAGCCUCUGAUAGCAGUAAAACUGACAGAUGUCUAAUUGACUUUUUUUUUUUUUUCACAUUUACUUUAUUAUUUAUUUUUAUUUUAUUUUAUUUUAUUUUUUAUUAGUUGGAGGCUAAUUACUUCACAACUAAUUGACUUUUUUAAGGAGCAAAAUUUGGAUAAACUGACAUAGCUUUUAAACAUCAGUAGACACUGAAACCAAAAUUUAUUGGUAAAUUUAUAGCAUGGUAAGCGGUGAUCUUUAAACUGUGUCAAUAUAUUAGAUGAGUUCAUCAGACUAUCCUAAUGCUUAUGACCACAUUUUAACAAGAAAAGUAAUUCCCUGCAGGGGUAUUCUGUUAAUAAUUAGUCACUUAAGAACACUGAGGUGUUAGCCCUGAGCUUAAUAUAAAAGACUAGGGUUGUAGUGAAUUUUUGGGGAACUUAAGUCAGACCUGGAAGUUAUGAUAAAUUCAAGCUCUGUGCUCCUUAUUUAUGUUCUUAAUUGUUUUCCUCUAUGUAUUCCUAUAGAUGAGCCAUAACAUCAUUGUAGACAGUACCUCAAAUAUAUCCUGAGGACCUAAGCAGGAGUCCAGGGCCCUGGCCAGAUGCUGGAACUUAAAUCCAGUACGUGGGCUAUAUGCUAACUUUUCUAGUAACACAUGGCAGUACUUGGAGUUGCUUUAUGGAGGGCCUAAGCUGAACCUGGACUGAUGUCUGAAUGGAAGGCAGGCAACUGAGGCAAACAAGGAUGCCCCUGUUCUGCUCAAGGAAUGAUUGCACAGUGACAAGUGAUGUAAAAUAGGAAGGAGAUACUGAAUAAUGAAAACUGGAAUAAUGAAGGACACUAUGCCUAUAUUGGAGCCACCACGUUUAUAAAUCUACAUUGGAACUUUGAAUAACCUUUCUUGGACUUGAAUUAUGACUCUGAAAUUGGCCAAAUAAUUGUAAUCUUAUUAAAAAUACCAAUGACAGAAUUUCUAACAAAGGGUUUUUACUAGGCAAACAGACAAGCAUCCUUAGGCACAAAGGAUCUCUAACUGCAGUUUAAAGAAACUUAUUUUAGGGAAGUUCUCUUCCCACACCCCAAUCCCCAUCCCUAAAAUAAUAAAUUACUUGGAAUGAAAUUGCUCUUGCCUUUUCUUUUUUUUUUGCUCUUGCCUUUUCAAUUCAAAUCAGUUGGGGAGUUACUGUUUGAGUUCUGAUGCUGCCAUGAUUCCUCAAAUUAGUGUGAACAAACCAACCUAUAUAAAACGCUACCUUUUUUGGUCUCCUUUUCAGUUUUAUAUACAAGUCAAUAUUAGGAUUAGAGCUGAAUGAACUUAAAUUCUCAGUCUUGUCUAUUCACUAAAAAAGUAUACUGCUUUUUUUUUUUUCCAGUUUAUUCAAGGCUAAUGACUUUUGGGAAUGUGUUUUAUACCAUGUAUGUAUAUCUGUUUAAAUUAAAACAAGUGCCUUGAUGCUACUCUACAUAAGUCAUGCUUAAUCCUCCAUGGAUUGAGGAUGAGGUAUUGAUGGAUUACAGCCUAUUUCAAGAGAGGGGGCAAUUGGUUAAUAGCAGCUCCUUUUCUUCUGGGAUCUGUUUGUGAUGUUUAUUAAUAAGAUCCUGUAUAUGUUGAGAUCUCGAGGUGUCAUUUCAUUUGUCUGCUAAUAAAUUGUUAUGCUAACAAAA